rnacentral:lncRNA from 8 species
AUGAUACUUUGUUUGGUUUGUUAUUUCCUCCUCCAGUCAGGAGGAAGGAAAAGGAGUUGCUCUGUAAAGAUAAGGGCCUCGGUUUCCUUCCAUUUUUGGUCAUCAGGGAGUGAGUGGAAAAUAUUUGCAAACGACCCCGAAGAGAGGCACACUGAUAUUCUCUCAUUCUGUUAUUUAGUCUACCCAAGGAGAGCACCACACGACUCUGAAGAUCGGUCCCAUCUCCUCUCAAUCCCUCAUUCAUUGGUCACCAGAACACACAAGGCAGCCGUUGCUGAGAAAAUGCAGUGUCAGAGAGAGAAGAUAUUCAUAUUGAUCCUCUUUGCUGCGCUCUCUCACAGGGUAAGAGUUUUGACCAAACACAUACAUUUUUUGUAAGAUUGAAUUGAUUGUUGUGGAAAAAGUAUCCAAUUGUCAUACUUCAGUAAAAGUAUAGAUACACUACCGUUCAAACGUUUGGGGUCACUUGGAAAUGUCCUUGUUUUCCAUGAAAACAUACAUGACAUUAGUUGCAAAAUGAAUAGGUAAUAUAGUCAAGACGUUGACAAGGUUAUAAAUAAUGAUUUUUAAUUGAAAUAAUAAUUGUGUCCUUCAAACUUCGCUUUCGUCAAAGAAUCCUCCGUUUGCAGCAAUUAUAGCCUUGGAAAUUGGCUCCAAUUAAGUGCCGUCCACAGGGUAUGGCAUGGCGUUGCAAAAUAGAGUGAUAACCUUCCUUCUUCAAGAUCCCUUUUACCCUGUACAAAUCUCACACUUUACCACCACCAAAGUCGCCCCAGACCAUCAGAUUGCCUCCACCAUGCUUGACAGAUGGCGUCAAGCACUUCUCCAGCAUCUUUUCAUUUUUUUCUGCGUCUCGCGAAUGUUUUUCUUUGUGAUCCGAACACCUCAAACUUAGAUUUGUCUGUCCAUAACAAUAUUUUCCAAUCUUCGUCUGUCCAGUGUCUGUGUUCUUUUGCUAAUCUUUUCUUUUUAUUGGCCAGUCUGAGAUAUGGCUUUUUCUUUGCAACUUUGCCUAGAAGGCCAGCAUCCCGGUGUCGCCUCUUCACUGUUGACGUUGAGACUGGUGUUUUGCGGGUACUAUUUAAUGAAGCUGCCAGUUGAGAACUUCUGAGGCAUCUGUUUCUCAAACUAGACACUAAUGUACUUGUCCUCUUGCUCAGUUGUGCACCAGGCCCUCCCACUCCGCUUUCUAUUCUGGUUAGAGACGGUUUGCUCUGUUCUGUGAAGGGAGUAGUACACAGCGUUGUACAAGAUCUUCAGUUUCUUGGCAAUUUCUCGCAUGGAAUAGCCUUCAUUUCUCAGAACAAGAAUAGACUGAUGAGUUUCAGUAGAAAGUUAUUUGUUUCUGGCCAUUUUGAGCCUGUAAUCGAACCCACAAAUGCUGAUGCUCCAGAUACUCAACUAGUCUAAAGAAGGCCAGUUUUAUUGCUUCUUUAAUCAGCAGA